GUCCAAAGUGUUGAGUCCAGUUCAGGGCAGCUUCCCUGUUCUGCUAAUUGAACUUUGGGACAUGAAACCCUGGGCUCGGAUUGGUGAUGGGAGAGAAGGUCCAUUCUCUGUUCGUUCACCUCCUGGCCUACAGAG